rnacentral:rRNA from 1 species
UACGUAGGGUGCGAGCGUUAAUCGGCAUUACUGGGCGUAACGCGUGCGCAGGCGGUUUUAUAAGCCAGGUGUGAAAUCCCCGGGCUCACCCUGGGAAUGGCAUUUGUGACUGUAAGACUAGAGUACGGUAGAGGGGGAUGGAAUUCCGCGUGUAGCAGUGAAAUGCGUAGAUAUGCGGAGGAACAACGAUGGCGAAGGCAAUCCCCUGGACCUGUACUGACGCUCAUGCACGAAAGCGUGGGGAGCAAACAGG